AGGCUCUGUGGUUUAAUUGGCCAUGCUGCCUGGGGCUGAUGGGAGCUGUAGUCCAAAGCACCUGGAGGGCAUGACAUUGGCUAGUCCUGGUCUGCAACAAAAGUCAUGUGAUACUUAAAGAAAAAUAUACCCGUUUGUUAUGGCAUAAGGAUUUGAGGAUAAACGCCCAACUUUGCCUUUAAGGUGUCACAGACGCUUCUGUUUUUGGAUAUGAAAUAUGAUUGAAGGCAAAUAAGGCAAAUAUAACAUGAGCAGUGCAUAUUAAUACUAAAUUUUACCACCUGAAUCAUAUCAUGUUCUCAAAAGCAAAUAACGAAGCAGAGGAAGUAGCCAGUGGCUUCGCUACUAAAAGUGGAGGAUUGCCAAUUCUGGUGCUUUCCCCCAGUUUAUUUUAAAUGGGCUCUUUUGCAGCUGUGUGAACCAGAGUAAAAUGCUAUGUAAAAAAAGUUUUGUCUAAGCAAAGAUAAAUAGACUACAUGAAAAGGGAUGGAACAUCUUAGAUCUUUUAUAUUUACGAAUCGUCAGCAUGGUGUCACCAGUAUGUAUGUAAAAGCAUGCCUUCAUUAUCAUGCUUCUCCUUAUUUUUAAUUAAUUGAUAUAAAGACCACAUAACUGUGUUAUCUAACUAUAUUUUAGCCUGAAACUAUAGGGUUCACACCUGCCAGCACUUCAGAAGCAUGCUACUGGCUAAGCAUUUAAGAUUGCCUUGUUUAAACUUGACCACUGCAUCGCAGUUAUUUAUUUUUUUAAAUUGGAUUCUGUUUUUUACAUUUGCCUGCUUAAUUGCCAUUUUAAAUAGUCAAUAGUUUGAAUAUAAGUGAUAUUAGUUGCCUGCUGUACUAACCAACAUAUGACUGCUGCUUUUAAUUGCAUGUUGCAUGUUACAUUCUUUUUUUACUUUAAAGGUCUUGAGUUAUUCAGUGUCUGCAAUUAAUAUACUGCAUGUAUGCCUUUUUUGUAGGGCAUGUGGCUUUUGAGAUUAAACUUGUUUAGUGUACGGGCAUGCUUUAGGGUUCCGUGAUCAAAUUAUAAUGCACUCAUCACUAUAACUGCAUAUUUUUCUAUGAAUCUAAGGGUAGACAUCUUUCCCUGGAGUCCGGUCUUGGAUGAGCUGCUUUCACCUCUUUACCAUCGAUAAUUCACAUAAAGGGGGUUUUGAGUUCUGAAGUGUACCUACAGCUAAUAGAAAAUAUUGUUUUGAGCAGUACCUUUCUACUAAAACAUAUUUCAUAUGGCCAAUUCUCUGUUAUAGGGUUGGAUCCAGAUUUCUCUUUUUGUGUCAGGGACGAAGGAGUCCUCAGAUAAAGCCUAAUGUUCUUAAAGUACAGCUUUAGAACUAGGAAAAAGUUAUAUUGGCUUAUACUCUACAUACUUCAACCAACUAAUUUGGAGGUAGCCACUUUGUGUAUGCGUAGGGGUGACAGUAUGUUUCCUGUAUAUAGGGUUGCUGCAGAGUCACAGAAGCCAAUCCUGAAUUUUAUUUACUUUUACUAUUUAUUUUUUACAAUUUAUAUACCACUUUUAUUUAAAGUAACGUCUAAGCAGUUUGCAACCUAGAUUUAAGACAUCUUAAAUAAAAAACUAACUCCAAAAAUACCAGAGAAUUUACACAUUAUAGAAGACACAAUUAACUGAACAGAGUGUCGUCUUUAGCAUAGAACUCAGCCGCAAAAUACAAAGAAAAGUGCAUAUUGUAAAACAUAGUAAAUGCUAAAUAAAGUAUUUUCUAAACAUCAGCAGAUAGAUUGCAUCUGAAAAUAAAUAUAAUGUCCAAUAAUGAUAUUUAGGCAAAAGAAAAAUCAACUCAUACUUCCCAACCACCAUACGCCAAAUCAGUUAAACGAUUAAACAAACCAAUCCCAUCAAAUUCCCAGCCCCAUGGAAUCUAAAUGCAGUUUUGUCCAGCUUCCUUGCAGGAUCAAUGGUCUUGCAUCAAACACAUAAACACUCGAAUUCACGAUUCUAGCACAUCCUUAGUCUGCACUGCACACCGCAACCACUGCCAUAAUUCACUCUUGCAUCCCAGAAGCGGUAGCAGCAGUCAACUUUUAGCCCUAUGAUAACAGCAAUGUGUCUCCUGAACCCAAUGUAGUAUCACUUUCAUUUUCAGUUGGCUGAAUCACAUGAUUUUUGUAUAAAGUUGUAUCUUGUUUUUGAGAAAUGGCUCCUCGUUUUUGAGAGAUGGCUCCUAUGCAGAAGGAGCAGAAUUGCAAAGCAUCUGCACUCUUCUCAGCACCUCAGCUUGCUUUGGAGAAAGAUUCUUAUGCAGAAAUGCUCUAUAUCUGAGAAAUAUUUCCUGCCAAGUUUUGACAUCCCAAGACUCCAAAUUUCAUGGUUUAAGAAAAUAGAGCCCUUACGAUUAAAGAAUGGCUAGCUAAUUUUUGGAAACUGGUAGAAAUGUAUAAACUCAGCGAGUUGGUUUGACUGCGUGAUGGAAGACAAAAGAGGAAUUAUUUUAAAAAUGAAUGGAUCCUGUUGAUUGAAUAUAUGAAAAAUAGAUAUAAUAUGGAUAUUGAAAAAUAUAAUAGCAUCUAUAUGGUAAGAAUACAUUGUCAAAACUGUAUUGAUUAUUGACUAUGAUUGUGGAUUUGUAUAUAUGCUGAGUUGGUAUUUAUUUUUAAUGUGAAAUAGUGGUUUUUUUUUUAUAUAUAUAUCUUGAGAUUUUUAUAAAUGUUUGGAAAAAGAAAAAUAGAACUUAAGUGCUAUGGGAAAAGCAUAGAGAAUGAAAAAUAGGAAUCCACAGGGCUUUUGGUGUCCGACAACUUCCUGAUUUAUUUUCAUAGUAUACAUCAUUAAUUUUAAUAUUAAUUUAUAUUCUUCUAUUCUCCUAGCCCCCCCCCCAAAAAAAUCCAAAUUCUUUGAAAGCCUUGAUCUUGGAAACAAAUUGUUUGAAAAGUGUGAAAGUUGAUGACACUUAUAUAAAUCUGCUUAUAGAAUUUAGAUGUUUGUAAUGUGUGUUGGAAAAAGUCAGGGUUUUCUCUUUGCAUAGAGAACAUGUGUCAAGAGCUUAAUACUGAAGACGGCUCUGUUCCAAGUCACUAUUAUUAUUGCCGAGCCAGAAUGUAGUCAUGAAAGCGACAUAUGAAUAUUUCUCACUCAUGUAUAAAAGUCUAUUCUCAGUUGAGGUGACUAAGACAUCCAGUAAUGUGGAUUAAUUCUAGGAAGGCAGGGAACACAUGACAAGCAUUUGGGCCAGCCAUGAAACCCUAAGCUCACCCCUCAGUUGGUUCCCUGCCUUGACCCAGAACCCAUUUUCCUUGCUGCUCCUUUCUCUCUCAGCACUUAACUAUCAUCUUUACUCUUUUCUGGUUACCGUCUCAUGGCUUGCUCAUUUUCCUAGCCUACUUCCAUGUUCUUCUCUUCAAAAGGAAUAGUUUUUUUUCUUUUUGCUCUGUUCCUCCUCCUCCUCUUUCCUUCCUCUUCCACAGCUCCCUCAGCCAAGCAAUGAACGUGGGCUACAAAGAAUAUAUUAAGUAAAUUAAGAGUAGUGAUGGAGGAAAGAUAAAAGAUGCCUACUUCAGCCACGGUGGAGCCACCAGCUGAGAUUUUCUUUCAUAGAUACAGUAGGUAUCAAACGUGCCUUUUCCCAGCAGAUCCUCAGUGGGCCACAAAAACUUCUGAGGGCCAUUUAUGGACUACAGGCUUUAGCCUUCUUCGUCUUCCUUAUGGAUAAAUGUUUUGUUCAGUGCAUGAAAUAGGCAGCGAUUGAUGACCUUGCGUAUUAGUUUGUCAGACAAGCAAAGGAAAUGGGAUGUCAUUAGAGGUGAAAAAAUUGUCCUGUUGGUUCUAAACCUUCUACCUCCCCCCAGUAGAUACCAGCUGUUCCAAAGCUUUAGGAUCCCAUCCACACCUAUGACGCUUUAUGAAGGAGGCAUCUCUCCUCUGCCCUCUGGUGGUGCACAGAUUUCCAACUUGUACCUGCAUGUGAUUGUCAAGGCUCUCACAGCACCUCCCUUGGCAGCUCUGAAGCUCUGAUGAUCCAUUAAGACUGCUGUCCCCAAAGAUCUCCUUUUCUAAUGGCAGUUACCACCACUUGCAAGUUCUUAGAUCUGGAAGUUCUUUUGAUCAAAGAACAUUAAGCAUAUUUUUCAGAUCUUUCAAAUGGAUCCACUGAUGGUUAACUCUGCCUUCCUUAGGGAACAGGAGCUGAACUUGCCUGCAACCCUCUCACCUAAUGGAGAGAAUUUGGGACUAGCUAGGCAUUAGGAGGGGCCUACAAACUUCUAUUGAACAAAUGCAGCCGAUCAGACUUGCUCUUUGUCUCUUUCCACUAAAGGUCAUUGGGG